CUGGCUCAGGACGAACGCUGGCGGCGUGCUUAACACAUGCAAGUCGAACGAUGAAGCUGGGGCUUGCUCUGGUGGAUUAGUGGCGAACGGGUGAGUAACACGUGAGUAACCUGCCCUUGACUCUGGGAUAAGCGUUGGAAACGACGUCUAAUACCGGAUACGACCUUCCGCCGCAUGGUGAGGGGGUGGAAAGAUUUUUUGGUCAAGGAUGGACUCGCGGCCUAUCAGCUUGUUGGUGAGGUAAUGGCUCACCAAGGCGACGACGGGUAGCCGGCCUGAGAGGGUGACCGGCCACACUGGGACUGAGACACGGCCCAGACUCCUACGGGAGGCAGCAGUGGGGAAUAUUGCACAAUGGGCGAAAGCCUGAUGCAGCAACGCCGCGUGAGGGAUGACGGCCUUCGGGUUGUAAACCUCUUUUAGUAGGGAAGAAGCGAAAGUGACGGUACCUGCAGAAAAAGCACCGGCUAACUACGUGCCAGCAGCCGCGGUAAUACGUAGGGUGCAAGCGUUGUCCGGAAUUAUUGGGCGUAAAGAGCUCGUAGGCGGUUUGUCGCGUCUGCUGUGAAAACUGGAGGCUCAACCUCCAGCCUGCAGUGGGUACGGGCAGACUAGAGUGCGGUAGGGGAGAUUGGAAUUCCUGGUGUAGCGGUGGAAUGCGCAGAUAUCAGGAGGAACACCGAUGGCGAAGGCAGAUCUCUGGGCCGUAACUGACGCUGAGGAGCGAAAGCGUGGGGAGCGAACAGGAUUAGAUACCCUGGUAGUCCACGCCGUAAACGUUGGGAACUAGAUGUGGGGACCAUUCCACGGUCUCCGUGUCGCAGCUAAC
rnacentral:rRNA from 1 species